AGUGUUCUCAUCCUCGUCAUCAUCCAGUUCUUGUAUCUUAGCAAUCUCAGCCUGCGCACGCUCAACAAUCUGCUUCUUCUGCAACUCCAAAUCCCUCUGAAAAUCCUGCCUUAUGGUCUCCAACUCUACCAUCCGUCCUCUCCCGCCCGCUCAUCUCCGCCACCUUCUCCAUCACGUCGACCCAGUCCUCUGCCCUCGGGCUUCGCCUACCGAGCUCCAUGUACCGCUCCCCCCACACCUCCAGCAGCACGAAGCUCUCGUCUUCGCUCCAUGCCUCGCUGCGCGGCGCGAAUUCGUAGUUGGAGAAUGUGAGAGAUAAUCCAAUAACAGAGAGAUAAUUCAGAUAACCGUAAGAAUGAAUUCAUUCUAUAUUGUUGAAUAGAGAAUGUGAGAGAUAAUCCCCUAGCAAACAAACAAUAGAGAAUGUGAGAGAUAAUCCAAUAACCGUUGGAGAAUUAUGUAUGAGAAUGUGUUUCAUUCUUACAAUUGAGGAUAAUCCAAUAACAGAGAGAUAAUUCAAAAACUUGAGCAAAAUAGCUUCACAAAAUUAAAAAAUUUGAGCAAAAUAGCUUCAGAUAAUUUAAAAAAUUCGAGCAAAAGCCCUAAUCUAAAUCAUAUUGUUACCAACAAAGUUCAAAAAUUAGGGAUUUGGAAUGAGAUUUGCGUAAGGGAUGUAUAAUUAGGGAUUCUACCUUGGUGGUGGCUAUUGUAGAAGGCGGCAGCGACAGCGGCGGCUCCUAGGGUCUGCGAUUGAGAGCUCGACCGGCGGCAGCUGCUAGGGCUAACGGACGGAUAAAGAGAGACGGGUGCGGUAGGUGGCAGACGGAGAAGCAAAAAGCCCGAUCUGCUGCUGCUGCUGCUGCAAGAAGAGCGGCGUCGGUGGAGGAGAGGGGUGGUCUGCUCGUGCUCGGUGGAGGGGAGAAGGGUGCUCCGCCGCCCGAUCUGCUGCUGCGAGAAGAGCGGCGUCAGAGGCGACGCGAUGCAGGGUGGGUGGGGGCGAGAAGAACUAGGGCUCAACCUUUGCCCUAGCUAUAUGUUAGAGGAAAAUGGAGAGGCGAGGUCGCGGCGACCGAUGUCGCCGGAAGAGCGCGAAUAGCUACCAUUCGCCGGAACUUGCCUCGGCAGCGGCGGCGACUAUCUCUCAAAGAGGGAGAGAUCGCGAAGAGAGAGAGAGAUUUGGGGAAGAGAUGAGAGAUAGAAUUAUACAAUAUUUUUAAAUUAUUUAAUUAAUAAAUUAAUUAUGAAAAUAAAAAAUUAAAUGAAAUAAUAGCAUACAUAACACUUUUACUUAACGGUUUCAAUAAUCGUUAUCUAAGAGUUCAAAAAUACGCACAUAGAUAACGGUCGGCUUAACGGUUUGUAAUACCGUUAUGUAUGUAACUAAUAGAUAACGCAAAAACAUAAAGAAUUAAUUGAAACCGUUAUCUAUGCAUAUAGACAACACUACAUAGAUAACGGAUUUUUGCAAAACCGUUAUCUAUUCCUAAAAGUGCGCUCAUACAUAACGGUUUUUGAAAAAAACCGUUAUCUAUGCACUGUUAUGUAUGUAAACUUUUGUAGUAGUG
rnacentral:lncRNA from 1 species